rnacentral:rRNA from 1 species
UACGGGAGGCAGCAGUGGGGAAUAUUGCACAAUGGGCGAAAGCCUGAUGCAGCUAUGCCGCGUGUAUGAAGAAGGCCUUAGGGUUGUAAAGUACUUUCAUCGGGGAGGAAAAACAAAACUAAUAAUUUUAUUUCUUGACGUUACCCGAAAAAGAAGCACCGGCUAACUCCGUGCCAGCAGCCGCGGUAAUACGGAGGGUGCUAGCGUUAAUCAGAAUUACUGGGCGUAAAGAGCACGUAGGUGGUUUUUUUAAGUCAGAUGUGAAAUCCCUGGGCUUAACCUAGGAAUUGCAUUUUGAAACUGAAAUACUAGAGUAUCGUAGAGGGAGGUAGAAUUCUAGGUGUAGCGGUGAAAUGCGUAGAUAUCUGGAGGAAUACCUGUGGCGAAAGCGGCCUCCUAAACGAAUACUGACACUGAGGUGCGAAAGCGUGGGGAGCAAACAGGGAUUAGAUACC